rnacentral:rRNA from 1 species
AUUGAACGCUGGCGGCAGGCCUAACACAUGCAAGUCGAACGAGUGGCGGACGGGUGAGUAAUGUCUGGGAAUCUGCCCGAUAGAGGGGGAUAACUACUGGAAACGGUAGCUAAUACCGCAUACCAUCGGAUGUGCCCAUCGGGGAUUGGCUAGUAGGUGGGGUAAAGGCUCACCUAGGCGACGAUCCCUAGCUGGUCUGAGAGGAUGACCAGCCACACUGGAACUGAGACACGGCCCAGACUCCUACGGGAGGCAGCAGUGGGGAAUAGUGCACAAUGGGCGAAAGCCUGAUGCAGCCAUGCCGCGUGUAUGAAGAAGGCCUUCGGGUUGUAAAGUACUUUCAGCGGGGAGGCGUUACCCGCAGAAGAAGCACCGGCUAACUCCGUGCCAGCAGCCGCGGUAAUUC